CUCGGUCGCGAUAAGGACCCGUGUGCCAGCGCUGUUGCCAGUGCCUCGAGCACAGGCCUAGAGAGACUAUUUCAAUGAGAGAGAAAGACCGUGUAUCCUUUGUGUAUGCGCGUGCACUCGGUGUAUGCACGGGCCAGCUUCGUUUUUAUUGAUUCAAACCGAAUAACCUAGCGGAGAUGGUUAGCUUGAUUCUUCUGAUUUCGUUCUCAUGGAACAUCGACCAAAAGAAAUCUAAAAAGCCUUCUUCUUUUCACGAAUGUGGGAUGAUAUUGGAAACAGGACGAAACUUUGUGACCAAUGGAAAUAUCUCUAAGGUGUCACGAUAAUAGAAGGAUGAUACAAGAUGAACGAAGAAAAAUAUGACGCAAUAGUACUGGAAAAUAAAGCACUGACGAUACAGUGGCCGAGAAACCAAGUGACCCAAUGAUACACGAACCAAGUUAACGGCGUUUAUCCGGAUCACAAUUCCACACAUGUUUUCUGUCUUUCGUGGGAACUCUUCUUCUAUGAAUUCUUCGUAGAGCGAAAAAUAAGCAACAUUUAAAAGAAAAGAAAUCCCAUGAGAUUCGACUUCUGUUGAGAAAUAAUUUCAUACAGCUUAGACCCUAAAGCUUACUCUUCCAUUCGUAAUUGACAAUGGUAGUGAUUAAUAAUCCAUUUAUUUCAUAGAAACUAUGUUUUAUGAUCUUUUGAGACCAUAAUUACUUUCUGCAUUAUAAAAAGCAGGAAUUGAAUUUACAUUGACAUAACAAGUUGGUCUAUAGUAAUUUAGGUAGUUCUAUUAGGUUUUUAUCGCUAAAAAUAUGCAAUUGACUUACCAAUAGGCCGGUUUCCACGCUCGGCAGCAGCGUAAGCCGACUGCCAUCUUGUAAACGAUUUUCCUCUAGCGUUCCCUCACGCAAUUGUCUGAAACACACAAAUUUCCAGUUAAAUUUGUCAUUGAAACUUUACGCUAAUGAAAUCAGUUCCAAAAUUGUUAUACAUUAAGGGUAACAUAUGAAUAUUACAAAAUAGUUUUAUACAGAAAAUUAAAAUUCAAUAUUUUAGCUCAUUAGAAAAGAAAAAACAUUUAAUAAAUCUAACUGUAGUGUUCAUAAAUUGACAUUUAUAUCUUAUAGUAUAUAUUAUAUUUAGUUAUUAUAAAGAAGAAUGAUUAAUAAAAUAUUAAUUAUUUUUA